UGUAUGCACAACUUUAAUGCGUAUCUAAUUUUAGUGAAGAUAGAGAAAGCUGAAAGCCUGUAAUAGUUCCACAAUAUAUAAGCGAAAUUCAAUUGAAAAAUAUGGAUUGUGUCAAUUCCAUUAUUGCAAAGCUGCUGAAACAGUCAGAUGACAAUGGAUUCGCCUGGGCCGGUCUGCACGAAAGGAGGGUGGGGUGGUACCGUAAUGUACAUGUAUGGUCCCAUGGUGCAAGUGUUUCAUUUGACUGGUCCGUGAUCAACUUAUUCAACUUCACGAAGGAUCCAAAUAAUAUAUGAAAUAAUCAAUGUUACUUCUACAAAACGGACAAGCGGUUUAAGCAGAAAUUUUACAGUCUUUUUCUAACUCUACAAGUAAUUACUUCUCCGGCAUAACUAUAAACUACGACAGUCGAGUAGGAAGCAUAGGACAGUUGGGUGGACAGAAACCACGGAACCCGGACAAAAACGGAAACCAUACCACGUUCAAGUGCACACUUGCGAUUGACGAAAAACAAGAUCAUUUCUCCAGACCAACACUUAAUGAGCACUUCUUUUUUCAGACAAAUAAAUGUAAACAAAGAUCAAACUUCAAUUUAGUUCCAUUAACAGGUUCACGAGACGGAGGUACCCUCUCAAGUGUAAUCGAAAUACGACGCAGACGACUGCCAGAAAGCGCGGGAUUCCCGUCAAGUGUCACUGGCAGAAAAGUAUACAGGGAAUUGGAGAGAAAUCCGAUCUACUGCUCUCAAUCACUGAAGAAACUCCAGACUGGUGUGUUUACGGAACAUGCAUAGAGAGAGCACUGGGAGACCGACAUUGCACUGUACACCGAUCUUCUCGACUCUAAUUGCAUUGAAAGGAUUUUGUCACUUCCGACGGCAGCUUUCCAAGAUUUUUGAUAAUUCAGCAGGAGAAAUCUAGAUUUAGAUUCUCUGUCCGACCCUACCCGCACACUAGUACAGUAUUUGAUCCAAUUAACAAAUCAAAAGGAAAUUGCAUUUCCUUUUCAAAAGUGCAUUCGGGUCAUAUGGCAAGGAAACUGUAUUUGCUCAUUUCAUGCAUUUAAAGAGUCUUGUACAUGUACUAGUCUACAGGGCUAUUGGAGAAAGAAGUAUAUAUCUUGCUUUGAAAUCUGAUAAAUUCAGCUAUUUGAGAUUAAUUUGUAGAAAUGCUUUGAAUUGGUACACAUAAUUAUAUUUUGUCUGAAAUAAAAUUUAGAGAAGUUUAGUAAA